GAUGAACGCUAGCGGCAGGCUUAAUACAUGCAAGUCGAGGGCUCAGCAAUGGGACCGGCGCACGGGUGCGUAACACGUAUGCAACCUGCCUGUAUCUGGGGGAUAGCCCGAGGAAACUCGGAUUAAUACCGCAUACCACUGAGGGUCGGCAUCGAUUUUCAGUGAAAGAUUUAUCGGAUACAGAUGGGCAUGCGCAGGAUUAGCUAGUUGGUAAGGUAACGGCUUACCAUGGCAACGAUAGGUAGGGGUCCUGAGAGGGAGAUCCCCCACACUGGUACUGAGACACGGACCAGACUCCUACGGGAGGCAGCAGUGAGGAAUAUUGGACAAUGGGCGCAAGCCUGAUCCAGCCAUGCCGCGUGCAGGAAGAAGCAUCUAUGGUGUGUAAACUGCUUUUANACAGGAAGAACCCUACCACGUGUGGUAGAUUGACGGU
rnacentral:rRNA from 1 species